CACUCUUGGAAAACUAUAUAAAGAACAUAGUAAAACCACCUUACUCUGCCUUUUUGCACUGUUAGUAACUAAAUACUUAUUGAUCAGGUAUUCAGGUCUCCUGGAACGCAACUUUCAUGGGGCAAGGAAACACAGGGGUGCUGCAGCCCAUGGACAGCUUCAGCAGCAGCAGCCACGGCGACGCUGUGCAGUUGCUGUAGGCUCUCCCUUUACAUGCCCAGGAUUCCUCUUUCUGCAACAACUGCACAGUUACCCCAAUCCAGUGCCUUUUAUUAAAGCUUUGUAAAGGAAAUGUAACAUCGUCCUCAAACAUCCUCUAUUCGACUACAAGUUGAGGGAAUAUGACAAAGGAGGGGAGAGAACAACCACAAAUGCAAAAGUCCCAUACCAAGGAAUAAAACAGCACUUUUUUAGAAGGAACAAAAAACCCUUCGGCAUUCUGGAAGGCAGUAGCUGCAACAAAGAAGUACUAACACAAGCAUAAAUUCAGAAAGCCUGGGUAGUGGUUACACCAACAGACAAAACAUAGAAAUAAAAACUGCUUAUAUUGUGAAGCUAUAAACUCUCUGUGGGUGAAAGUUACCAUGAACCAGCUUGGCUUCCUCAGCCUUUAUUCACUGAGAAAUGAUUCCUCACUCUGAUGAACAGUUUUGGUCUCAAAACACUGUCUGUCUAUUAGAGUACCCUUCAGCUCCUGUGUGCUGUAUGUGCCCACAUUUCCUUUCACAGGAGGAAAAAGAACAUGUCUGUAAGCAUAGAAAAGAUGAUUUAAUACCAAAAUCUCAGUUGAUACAGAAUAGGAGUAAAACUACUGAUGCUGUCACUAUCUACUUACUCCUCUGCAUAGUAAGGAACAGCCACCAUGCAGGCUAAGGUCUCUCCUCUAGCAGUGCUUGUGUUAAAACCCAGCUAGAUCUGACACUCAGGAGUGCUUCCAAGCUCUUUCUAUCACAGGCAUGAGGGCAGUUAAGGGCAAAAGACCUCCUGGGAGAGUGCUAGAGAAAUGUCCCAGGCAGAGGAAGCCAAACUUGGCAGGGUCUGUACCCAUACUGUUAGUCCAGAGCAGACCUUGAAACAAAUUAGCCAGCCAACAAUGCCUUUUUUUCCCCUCCUCUGCCCCUCUUCAGAAGAAAAUACUUCUCUAUCUCUGGUAGGGAUACUGAAUUAAUUAGCAUAUAUGCAGUAUGAACAAUCAGGAGACUUGAACCUGGGACUAAAGUGAGAGCCAAAUUAUUUGACACCAAAACACAUUCAGUGAAAGGGGUCAAGGAAGUACUGGACCACUUGACAUCAAAAACAGUAUCUGUGGAAGGAAGUGGAAGCAGAGUAGCUUGCAGCGUUUUUGUAUCCUUUCCUUUAUAUGGCUGUGUUGGCACACUGGGAUGUAGACAAGCAUGUCCUGCUGGGAAAGGAAGAGAUGUGACAGGACUGAGGAAUCAUGAGCCCACGACACAAUCUCACAUGCUGAAGCAACUCCAACUGUUUUUGCAUUAACACACACAUAUCCGUGCCCAGUGGACCCCAAGCACACAGCAGCUCUGCCUAUAGGUGAGCCAUUUUCUUUUACAAAAAAAAAGGUGAGUUUAAAAGCCUAUUACAAUUGUUGUGCAAUAAAAAAAAGUGACAAGCUUUUAGGUUUAAUUGCUUCAUCAGUCCAAUAAGGGAAUAAGGUAUUCUGAGCCUGAGAGCUUGUUUGUUUCUUUUCCAGCUGCAUCUAUUAAACUAAUAAACAGAUCUCUCUCUCCAGACCUUUUUUAUAUUACAUUACUCCAGACUGGCUACAAAGCUCCCUAACUUCAAAACCAUCAAAAAUCUAGCAUUUAAAAAGAGCAAAAUUAUUAGGUUUUAGCUCUGCAAAGCAUGAAUUGCCUUCCAGAACUAAAGAUCAGUCAAAUUUAUCAAUCUCUGGAAAAAGCAAGUCUGCUUAUCAAAAUUAAGAGAACACUUGAGAGAUCUUCUCUGAGAAGAAAACUUCUAUGACCACCUGCUUCAUGGGCCAGGAUAUUCUCUACUGUUCCACUGAAACAUACUAUAUAGAUUACCUGGAAGCAAGCUACAAGAACAGCUUUAUCCUUGUAAGGCCAUGCUACAUUUUAGAGCGGGCUUACGGCUGCUUCAAGUUGCACCUUACCAUCUAUGUUUAUACAAAGCUGCCUUGACUGCUAUAAACUGCAAGAGCAUACAGCCAGUACACCCUGGCUACACCCCAAGCCCUCCUCACCCUUGGAAGGCCAGGGAUAACUGUGGUAU
ensembl:lncRNA